GACGAACGCUGGCGGCGUGCUUAACACAUGCAAGUCGAGCGGUAAGGCCCUUUCGGGGGUACGACGAGCGGCGAACGGGUAGAGUAACACGUGGGUGACCUGCCCUCAGCUCUGGGAUAAGCCUGGGAAACCGGGUCUAAUACUGGAUAUGACUCCAUGACGCAUGUUGUGGGGUGGAAAGCCUUGUGCGGCUGAGGAUGGGCCCGCGGCCUAUCAGCUUGUUGGUGGGGUGAUGGCCUACCAAGGCGACGACGGGUAGCCGGCCUGAGAGGGCGACCGGCCACACUGGGACUGAGACACGGCCCAGACUCCUACGGGAGGGCAGCAGUGGGGAAUCUUGCGCAAUGGGCGAAAGCCUGACGCAGCGACGCCGCGUGAGGGAUGACGGCCU
rnacentral:rRNA from 1 species